rnacentral:rRNA from 1 species
UACAGAGACUGCAAGCGUUGUUCGGAUUCAUUGGGCGUAAAGGGUGCGCAGGCGGUGUGUUAAGUCGGAUGUGAAAUCUCACAGCCUAACUGUGAUAGGUCAUUCGAAACUGGCAUGCUAGAGGACUGGAGAGGAGACUGGAAUGGUCGGUGUAGCGGUGAAAUGCGUAGAGAUCGAGCAGAACACCGGUGGCGAAGGCGGGUCUCUGGACAGAGUCUGACGCUGAGGCGCGAAAGCUAGGGGAGCAAACAGG